rnacentral:other from 1 species
UGCCCUCUGCGCUGUACGCGAGUCGGUCAAGUAACCACUUGAGCCUAACUUACAGUGCUCGGGAACGGGCCCUCGGCGUUGUUGAGCACGUCCGCCCAGAGCGGAAAGCCUGAUACGCCGAACCAUGUUCCCCCCUGAACCGUCCGGUUCAAGGGUCACGCCGACAGCGGCAGGUGCGGAGGGCGC